rnacentral:rRNA from 1 species
UACGUAGGGUCCGAGCGUUGUCCGGAAUUAUUGGGCGUAAAGGGCUCGUAGGCGGUUUGUCGCGUCGGGAGUGAAAACCUUGGGCUUAACUCAGGGCUUGCUUUCGAUACGGGCAGACUAGAGGUAUGCAGGGGAGAACGGAAUUCCUGGUGUAGCGGUGAAAUGCGCAGAUAUCAGGAGGAACACCGGUGGCGAAGGCAGGUCUCUGGGCAUUAACUGACGCUGAGGAGCGAAAGCAUGGGGAGCGAACAGG